UUCUAGUACAUGUUUUUUAGA
rnacentral:piRNA from 1 species